AACGAACGCUGGCGGCAGGCCUAACACAUGCAAGUCGAACGGCUCUUCGGAGCAGUGGCGGACGGGUGAGUAACACGUGGGAACGUGCCCUUUGGUUCGGAACAACACAGGGAAACUUGUGCUAAUACCGGAUGAGCCCUUUUGGGGAAAGAUUUAUCGCCAUUGGAGCGGCCCGCGUUGGAUUAGGUAGUUGGUGGGGUAAUGGCCCACCAAGGCUACGAUCAGUAGCUGGUCUGAGAGGAUGACCAGCCACAUUGGGACUGAGACACGGCCCAAACUCCUACGGGAGGCAGCAGUGGGGAAUCUUGCGCAAUGGGCGAAAGCCUGACGCAGCCAUGCCGCGUGUAUGAUGAAGGUCUUAGGAUUGUAAAAUACUUUCACCGGUGAAGAUAAUGACUGUAGCCGGAGAAGAAGCCCCGGCUAACUUCGUGCCAGCAGCCGCCGUAACAC
rnacentral:rRNA from 1 species